rnacentral:tRNA from 1 species
GAUAUUGUGGCCAAGUGGUCUAAGGUGCUGGAUUUAGAUUCCAGUGUCUUUGGAGACGUGGGUUUUGAUCCCACCUUUGCUA